CUUGCUGGGUGCUCGAGUGGCGAACGGGUGAGUAACACGUGGGUGAUCUGCCCCUGACUUUGGGAUAAGCCUGGGAAACUGGGUCUAAUACCGGAUAUGACCAGUUGGUGCAUGCCUUCUGGUGGAAAGCCUUGUGCGGUUGGGGAUGGGCCCGCGGCCUAUCAGCUUGUUGGUGGGGUAAUGGCCUACCAAGGCGACGACGGGUAGCCGACCUGAGAGGGUGAUCGGCCACACUGGGACUGAGACACGGCCCAGACUCCUACGGGAGGCAGCAGUGGGGAAUAUUGCACAAUGGGCGCAAGCCUGAUGCAGCGACGCCGCGUGAGGGAUGACGGCCUUCGGGUUGUAAACCUCUUUCACCAGGGACGAAGCUCUUGUGACGGUACCUGGAGAAGAAGCACCGGCCAACUACGUGCCAGCAGCCGCGGUAAUACGUAGGGUGCGAGCGUUGUCCGGAAUUACUGGGCGUAAAGAGCUCGUAGGCGGUUUGUCGCGUCGUCUGUGAAAUUCUGCAGCUUAACUGCAGGCGUGCAGGCGAUACGGGCAGACUUGAGUACUACAGGGGAGACUGGAAUUCCUGGUGUAGCGGUGAAAUGCGCAGAUAUCAGGAGGAACACCGGUGGCGAAGGCGGGUCUCUGGGUAGUAACUGACGCUGAGGAGCGAAAGCGUGGGUAGCGAACAGGAUUAGAUACCCUGGUAGUCCACGCCGUAAACGGUGGGUACUA
rnacentral:rRNA from 1 species